rnacentral:rRNA from 1 species
CGGCGGACGGGUGAGUAACACGUGGAUAACCUACCUAUAAGACUGGGAUAACUUCGGGAAACCGGAGCUAAUACCGGAUAAUAUAUUGAACCGCAUGGUUCAAUAGUGAAAGACGGUUUUGCUGUCACUUAUAGAUGGAUCCGCGCCGCAUUAGCUAGUUAGUAAAGUAACGGCUUACCAAGGCAACGAUGCGUAGCCGACCUGAGAGGGUGAUCGGCCACACUGGAACUGAGACACGGUCCAG